rnacentral:rRNA from 1 species
AGCAGCCGCGGUAAUUCCAGCUCCAAUAGCGUAUAUUAAAGUUGCUGCAGUUAAAAAGCUCGUAGUUGAAUUUCGGGACCAUCAUGUCGGUCGUGCCUCGGUACGUACUGGCAUUGUUGGUUUCUACCUUCUGACGAACCAUGAUGUCAUUUAUUUGGUGUCGUGGGAAAUCAGGACUGUUACUUUGAAAAAUUAGAGUGUUUAAAGCAGGCUCACGCUUGAAUACAUUAGCAUGGAAUAAUGAAAUAGGACGUUUGAUUCUAUUUUGUUGGUUUCUAGGAUCGACGUAAUGAUUAAUAGGGAUAGUUGGGGGCAUUAGUAUUCAAUUGUCAGAGGUGAAAUUCUUGGAUUUAUUGAAGACUAACUACUGCGAAAGCAUUUGCCAAGGAUGUUUUCAUUAAUCAAGAACGAAAGUUAGGGGAUCGAAGACGAUCAGAUACCGUCGUAGUCUUAACCAUAAACUAUGCCGACUAGGGAUCGGAUGAUGUUAA